GCAUUAGUUGGUAUAAAACUAACUUACUAUCUUAGAAAUGAGAUAGCAAAUAAUGAUGAUUGGAUUCUAUGAAUGCGUGAUUAUUAUCCGUAUUCGUUUAGGGCUUGUAACCCCUUUUCGAAUCCUUUCUGAA